rnacentral:rRNA from 1 species
UACGGAGGAUGCGAGCGUUAUCCGGAUUUAUUGGGUUUAAAGGGUGCGUAGGCGGUCCGUUAAGUCAGCGGUAAAAUUGCGGGGCUCAACCCCGUCGAGCCGUUGAAACUGUCAGACUUGAGUUGGCGAGAAGUACGCGGAAUGCGCGGUGUAGCGGUGAAAUGCAUAGAUAUCGCGCAGAACUCCGAUUGCGAAGGCAGCGUACCGACGCCACACUGACGCUGAGGCACGAAAGCGUGGGGAUCGAACAGG